GAUGAACGCUAGCGGCAGGCCUAACACAUGCAAGUCGAGGGGCAGCACAGAAACAGCAAUGUUUUGGUGGCGACCGGCGGACGGGUGCGUAACGCGUAUGCAACCUACCUUUAACAGGGGGGUAACGGAGAGAAAUUUCCACUAAUACCCCAUAACAUCGAUCAAGGCAUCUUGAUUGGUUGAAAACUCCGGUGGUUAAAGGUGGGCAUGCGUUGUAUUAGGUAGUUGGUGAGGUAAUGGCUCACCAAGCCUACGAUACAUAGGGGGACUGAGAGGUUAGCCCCCCACGCUGGUACUGAGACACGGACCAGACUCCUACGGGAGGCAGCAGUGAGGAAUAUUGGUCAAUGGGGGCAACCCUGAACCAGCCAUGCCGCGUGCAGGAAGACGGCUCUAUGAGUUGUAAACUGCUUUUAAACAGGGAUAAAGCACAGUAUGUAUACUGUGUUGAAGGUACUGUAAGAAUAAGGAUCGGCUAACUCCGUGCCAGCCGCCGCCGUAA
rnacentral:rRNA from 1 species